rnacentral:rRNA from 1 species
UACGUAGGGUGCAAGCGUUAAUCGGAAUUACUGGGCGUAAAGCGUGCGCAGGUGGUCUUGUAAGUCAGAUGUGAAAUCCCAGGGCUUAACCUUGGAACUGCGUUUGAAACUACAAGACUAGAGUCUGGAAGAGGGAAGUAGAAUUCCACGUGUAGCAGUGAAAUGCGUAGAUAUGUGGAGGAAUACCGAUGGCGAAGGCAUCUUCCUGGUCCCUGACUGACACUCAUGUACGAAAGCGUGGGGAGCAAACAGG